GGGCCCGUAGCGCAGCCUGGAUAGCGCGGCAGUUUCCUAAACUGUAGGUCGUGGGUCCAAAUCCCACCGGGCCCG
rnacentral:tRNA from 1 species